rnacentral:lncRNA from 1 species
AGCACAAGGCCUAACGGAAUGGCUGCAAUAUUUUGUCAGAGGUCAUGGCCUAUUAUCAAAAAAUAAUAUCAAAGCUUUUCGUUAAUGACUCAAAAAUGUGUGUUUCCGGUGUAAUAUUAGAGACUCAACCAGUAAAUUGUCUGGACUUAAUUGGGCGUGUGAUAUUGGACAAUGUUAUAUAAUCUCACAUGAAUUGUUUCAUGGGCUUUAGACCAAUAAAUUCAUGACCAUAUAAAAAAGACAUGAGAAAGAAACUUAUAAAUUAUGAUAUGUUGUUGUCAAAUGCCCUUUCAAAUUAAAGAUGCUCUAUUAAGUCAACUAUGAUUCGAUGAAAAAUGGACUAAGUGGAUUAUAUGGUGUAUUGUAUUAUAUAACAACGUAUAAAAUGGUGCUUAAAAAUCUGCCGCUGGCCGGUGGUGAGCUACGUCCAUAGUCUAGAACAUCCGAGCUAGCGACACAGAGGCCAUAAACUCCGAAGUUUUCCUCUCGAGCUAGGACGACCACUAAUACUAUACUUUUACAGAUCCGAAGCCCCAAUGAUUUAUUCUAAGAACAAGUUUUAAUCUGAGUAGAAGGUUUAGUGCCGGUGGUGGGUUUUAUUAUCACACGAUGAUUUUUAUGUGGUGGACGCAAAGGUAUAGAAUAAUCAUCACACACCAAUGUAACCGACGCAUAUAUGAACUCCAUAUGUCAAAAAGGUACAUUUCUCUUUGAUUAGACAAAAUUAAUGUAUUGUCCAUAGGAUUCCAACUUCUCUCUAUAAAUACAUUGAAAAUUCCUCUCGACAUAUUAUUUGUAUAUAUUAGUUACACAUUGUAACCGUUGCUUUGUCAACUACGUGCCAAUAGAAGUAAUUCGCAUCAUGUACAUGUAUCCCUUGUUUCCACAAAAACGUAACUAAACAUUCAAAUCUUCAUCGGCAUUUUUCAUUCUCGGUUGAACAUAAAACAAAAUCCUAACGAAUUAUUGUCUCAUAUCAAUAACUACUAUCUAGCUAACUUGUAGAGUAGUUGUUCUCCGAUAAAUUUAUAAGAACAAAUAUGUUCCACGAAUAUCUCUUAUGCCAUGUACACACACACAAAAAAAAAAGGCAUUAUGGAAUUUAAAGUCUAAACUAAAAGCACGAACUGUUUGGCCAGAGCAGAAUGGAGAUAAACUUAAGAAAUCUCUAUAUUUACGACUAAAUUUAUUAAAACAUAUAAGCUUAUCUCAGAUCUGAACAUUCUUUCCAGUGCAUAUGAAUUUUUACUUCAUUAGCUGUUAAUUCCUCUUACAUGAGCCAACUAAUCCUUUUCUAUUGUAAAGAAUGUGUCAGGAGGUCGAUUUACCAGUAAGGUAGUGAAAUGAGAGUCCCUAAUCAUUAUUGUGUAGAGGUACGGAAAAAAAUAAAACCAAAAAUUAGUGGACCACUUAUGACCUUAUUUGGUUUUACAUACUCCAUAUUAAAAGUACAAAUAAAAGUUUGGGAUACAUAUCAAUUGGUGGUACUAAAAUAGGUUUAAAUGAUGAUUACAAGACAAUAUAGUCUUCCUUUACAAAAGAAUGAGAUUGUAUUUGUCCAUAUAUAUACAAUGAGCCUUUGUGAUUUUGUUUAAUAGAAAUCUUAAAGCUCUGAAUUUGUUAAUAUGAUCGUCUUUUUUCUUUAAUGGAUUUCAUAGUGUGUUAGUGGAACAAGCUAAGAAUAUAUAUGGUAACAGAACAGUAUUAAACUAUUCUUUUAACAGAAGAAGUAGGUCUAAGUUUGAUGUGAGAAAACGACAUUGAGAUGAAAAAAACCUUGGAACUCUCUACCAUACCAUAAAUUUUAAAAAUAGAUUUGGCAACAACUUUUUUUCUUCAUGGGAAGUGUUUGGUGCAUUCCCUUAACAUCUAUAUUUAUAUAGGAAUUUUUUCAUUUGAAGAAAAUAAUAAUUGUCUGAUAAUAUCACUAUCUAGAAGUUGGUCAAUGUACAUUAUUAUACGUUUCGACACCUAUAUAUUGGAAUUUAUUAAUACUACUGUUUAAAAUAUGUAUAAGAAUCCAUGAGAUUUUUUUGUAUUUUAUAUGUUUAAGUUUGAUCAAGUCUGUUUGAUAUCUUUGUUGAGUUAUUAUGACAACAUAAAGAGACUAGAUCGUUUAUUACAAAUCCGAUGUAAUAAUGGAUGCUUAGCUAGUUAGAUCCGAUGAAUUGAAAUCCGUAUUGUUUUGGGUAUGUAAUUUUGAUUUUUGUUAGAUGAGGGGAGUAAAUAUUAAAUAAUCAUGGCUUAACGCUGAAGUCUCCAGUGAACUAAUUCACGUUUCUAUAUAAAGUUGCAAAGACAAAAAAGUUAAAAAUAAAAAAUACUUGGCACCCAUUUGACGCAACUCGAUGGACUAAAAUUUUAUGACAAAAACUCUUAAACUAAGUAGCCAUGAUAUUACAUAAAACAUGUUUAUACGACGUGGGAAUUAAUAUUUCGAUUCUAUAUAAACAACCUGUAUACAUAAUUUCGAACCACGCCUAUCAAUUUUCAAUAGUUUUAAUGUACUCUUCUGAUAUCAAUUUCAUUUUUAAAAAGUAUUUAAAUUAAUAUUUUAACUUCUUAAGAUAGUUCUUUACGAGAAAGGUUUCGGAUAGCAAUUAACUUGUAUUUUAGUAUUAGCUGUAGUUUCUUAAUCACAUAAAAAAAAAUAUGGAGACUAAUUCUUCGAAUAACAUUAAAAGUUCAGAUAUAAGCUACAUGCAGACCACAAAUGAUGAAAAACUAUAACAAUAAAUUUUGAUGUACGCGUAUUCAUCUAUAUGUGUUCCAAGACUAGUUCAAGUUGAUAUUCGACGCCACGAUUUUUAGAGAAACUAAAAAACCAUAGUCUAAUAAACCUCUUUUAUAUAAUUUAGUCUAAUGAAUCUCUAGUAGUACUUAACUCUUAUUAUAAUAUCCCAUUAGUUUGACUAGAUCAAAUUUGGCAUGAAACUUGCACCACCUUGCUAAUCACCCUUUGCAUAAAGUAGUAUAAGUAUCCUGCUUUAUCCAGACAUAAUGUAUUUAUAUAUUUGAAUAAUAUGUUCAAAACACCAUCUCAAUUAUAAUCACAAAUCCAUUUACAAUACAGUUCCAAGGUGAUUUAAUCACAAAGUUUGCAAUCAUGAGAAAAUACAUAAUGAGAAUGUUAUUUAUUUUUGUUUAUUGCAUGAUCCAAUAUAGGAAUAUGUUCAGAGUGCGUAAAGGUGAAAGAUGUUUAGUGCGUCUAGAAAAAAAGUACACUUUAAUGUCUCUAUGUCACCAAAUCACUAAUCAAUGUUUCUAAUUCUAACUAAAGUAUAUGCAUGUACUUAAAAAAAAGCAUAAAUAAAUAUGGUUUAUCUCCAAGAAAAUGUAACUCAACAUAUAAUCAUAUACAUAUACGUUUGAAAUCGUAAAUAUUUAACAAAAUUUACUUUAUAACUUAAAUGUAUCAACAAGGUUGGAUCUAAUAAUCAAUAUUUUCAAACAAGACACAUCAACGACGACGAUAGUUCAACUGCCAAUUCAGUUCGCACUUCGGACCAUUUAGAUUGUUUCUCACACACACACACAUGGUAUUUUGACCAGAAUCUAAAGAAGUUUACAGGACAAAAGACAAUUUUUCAUUCGGACAAUUUUAGCCCAUAACCUUUUUAAACCAGAAACGUGACUGCUUUGAACAAAUCUUUGGAUUAAUGCUAAGGGUAUUUUGGGUAAAGAUAUAAUAUCCACUUUUUCAUGAAAAAGAAUCUCUUGUCUUAAAACGCUGACGUAUGGCAUUUUACCGACACGUUAAUGUUAGCUUUUUCUUAAUAUUUUUAUUCAUUUCAUCAUUAGUUUAUUUAAUCGCUUCUGUUAAUAAAUCUGUGAGAUUGGAUUACCGAUACAACCUAUGGUAAAGAUAUUUUUACGUUUUUUGUUGAAUUCCAAACAAGAAGAUUCCAUCUAAAUAUAUGAGCUAUUUACCAAUAUUUAUUUUUAUGUGUGUUUUUAAACAGAAUACAGAUUAUUAUAUUCAAUAAAAUAAUAAGAACAAGUUUUUGAAAGCCUUAAUUUAGAAUCUGGAAUUUGGUGGUAUUUUGUAAAAUCAAGUAUAGUCAUUUACAUUUUAUUAUUUCAGAUUUAAAGGACUUACCAAAAUGUACAUUGUUUGGUUUAAAGGAUAUUCAGAUUUAUGUUUUUUUUUAUUAAAAAAACUUCAGAGUUAAACUAAUUUUUCGGAUGUAUGGAUUAGUAAAGUCGUAAUAAGUCCACUGACCAUAUUAUACCCUCCCACUGCCCUCUAGUCCCAACAUUAAACCUUUUUAUUUUAUUUUUGGUUCUUCUUCUAAUUUCUUUGCUGCGUAAUAAAGCAACGGCUGUGAUCGUAUUACCACGGUGACUUCAGAUCCAAUCAACGGCCCCACGUUCAUCUCUCUCAUCUCUCACUCUCUCUCUCUCUGAACAUUCAAACAACAAAUAUAGAAAUGAAGUAAGCCUAAACAACAACAACAGCAAAAGAGAGAAGACGAGAGGAACAAAAACUGAAACGUGCCUCCAUUUCUAAAACCCAAUUCCUUUUGGGUACAAAGGACGACACACCACAAUCUCUCUCUCUCUUAAAUGCCAAAGGUCUCUUCUUUUUAAUUUCGUUUCGUCUUCUUCCCCUCUCUCUCUCUCUAUAUCAAUACUUCUCUCACAAAUCUGGGCUUGUUUUAUUUCAUUCACUGAUUUUGUUUAGCUCUUAAAGUUUCAAUCUUUAGGUUUAAUUUCUUCACUCUUCUUUCUUAAUCAUGUUCUGUUUUUUUUUUCUUAAAUGUUUUGGUUACUAAUUUAAAAAUCUCAUCUUUCACGGGUUUCCUUCCUUUUUUUUCUUUCUACAUUUAAUCUUAGAGUUACUGAAUUUAUCAUUUUUUUUUCUCUGAAGAUCUCUGAAACAAACAAACUUUUUUUGCAGGUUUAUGCUUUGAUUGGGAGAGAGAGAAAGAGAGAAACUUGAAGUCAUUUAGGUAACAAGAAGAGAACAAAUUAAAGUUCAGUUUUUUGGUUAUGGUGGGGGCGAUGGCAAGCAAUGGAAGAAUCAGGUCAGCUUUUCCGGUGACUAAUGGGUCAAAAGAUCUGACUCCGAACAGUGCUCCGGCGAGCACAACGGGAUCUGAGUAUGGUCCUCUUGAGUUCACAAGAGAUGACGUUGAAACUCUUCUUAAUGAGCGCAUCAAGUACAAGAGCAAAUUCAACUACAAGGUUUCUACUUUUUUCCCCCACCUCAUUAAAUUUAUCAGUUUCUACUUUUUUACCUGAAUCAAAAAUUUCUUGUGUAAUGUAAGUUUUGAUGUAUGGAGAUAAAAUAGUGUUUGAUAAUUAUCAAUUAGGAUUUAUAUUAGCAGAGAGUUUAGUUGGUGAGGUUUUGAAUUUUAAGUAACUUUUUACUGGCUUUUCUCGUUGGAUCCGUUGGUUUUGGGACCAUUCUUUUUAGGCAAUAGUAUUGAAGACAUUGUUUAUGUGUUGAUUGAUCCUUGUGGUAGACUCUUGAGCUUUUAAUUUCAGUCAGCUUACUGGCUUUUUUCGUUGGAUCCGUUUGCUGUUUUGGAAGAGGGUUGUUAUAAGACAAGUUGUGGGACCAAAAUAGUUUUGUCUGUUUGAUAAGCAUUAAUGACUUUGUUUAUGUGUGUCUUGGUAGAAUCUGUAGUGGUUUGAAUUUGAGUGUUCUUCUUGGUGAUUGAUUUUGCAGGAGAGAUGUGAGAAUAUGAUGGAUUACAUAAAAAGGCUUAGACUUUGCAUUAGGUGGUUUCAAGAACUCGAGUUGGAUUACGCCUUUGAGCAAGAGAAGUUGAAGAAUGCGUUGGAAUUGAAUGAGAAGCACUGUGCUGAUAUGGGUGUGUUUCCAAAUUAGAGUUUAGUUGUUGAUUUUUUCAUUUCAAAUUUUCGGAUUUUGAACUUUAUAUUUGUGCAAUUUUGAUGACAGAGGUUAGUUUGAGAAACAAAGAAGAGGAGCUGAAUAUGAUAAUUGAAGAGCUGAGGAAAAACUUUGAAUCUGUUCAAAUGCAACUUGCCAGGGAACAAACAGAGAAGCUGGUAAGAGGCGGCUAAAUCUAGUUAUAUUACUUAUGUCUUAUUCAUAUUUGUACGUUUUAAAUCUAUAUGUUCUGCUUUAGGCUGCAAAUGAUUCCCUUGGAAAAGAGAAAGAAGCAAGACUUGCUGUUGAAAAAGCACAAGCUGGUCUUGUAGAAGAGCUAGGAAAAGCACAAGGAGAUCUUCUAACGGCUAAUCAGAGGGUGAGAAAACUUAAAAAGGAUCUGAAAUGAGAAUGUGCUGUCACUUAACUUUAAACUAGUGUUGACCGUCUGUUUUUUGGGGUUUUUGUUCAGAUACAAUCGGUAAAUGACAUGUACAAACUGUUGCAAGAGUAUAACUCAAGCUUGCAGCUGUAUAACAGCAAGCUACAAGGUGACCUUGAUGAAGCUCAUGAAACUAUAAAACGCGGUGAGAAAGAAAGGACUGCCAUUGUCGAGAAUAUUGGCAACUUGAAGGGUCAAUUUUCAGCGUUACAGGAUCAGCUUGCUGCUUCUAAGGUAGUUGAUGCUCUUUUUAUCUGAUCAAUGGUAGUAAAUGUUUGUAGUUUUGGUCACAAUAUGAUUGAAAGUCAUAUUUUUUUUGCUAGGCUUCCCAAGAAGAUAUCAUAAAGCAGAAAGGUGAAUUGGUAAACGAAAUUGCGAGUCUCAAGGUUGAGCUUCAGCAGGCCAAGGAUGACCGUGAUCGCCAUUUAGUGGAAGUAAAAACCUUACAAACUGAGGCAACCAAGUACAAUGACUUCAAAGACACCAUAACUGAGCUUGAGGUUUCCUAUCCUUUUAUAAUUUCUUGCAAAAAAAUCUCUGCCAACAAAUUUUUUCGUAAGAUGAUGUAAAUGUUUUUUGGUCAGACUACAUGUUCGUCCCAGAGUACCCAGAUACAAGAGUUGCGGGAUCGACUAGUAUCCUCUGAGAGGCGACUGCAGGUUUGAUCACAUUCUCAAGUUAAACAUAUAACAAAUGGAUUUAUUAGAUUUUCUCAACUUCUUAAGUUUUCAAUACCAUUUUGAUUGUUUAUGUUUUAGGUGUCUGAUCUAUCUACCUUUGAGAAAAUGAAUGAAUUUGAAGACCAGAAGCAAAGCAUUAUCGAUCUGAAGAGUCGCGUAGAAGAAGCAGAGCUUAAACUCGUUGAAGGGGAAAAACUACGGAAGAAGUUGCACAAUACCAUUCUUGUAUAACUCGUUUAACUAACCUCUACCACAUUUUUUUUUGGUCCCCUUUGUGUAAACUUGACUGAUCCUUGUUAUUCUUAUGUUGCAGGAACUGAAAGGCAAUAUACGUGUGUUCUGUAGAGUUAGACCUCUAUUGCCGGGUGAGAAUAAUGGUGAUGAGGGGAAAACUAUUGCUUACCCGACAUCUCUAGAAGCACUUGGUCGCGGUAUUGACUUGAUGCAAAAUGGUAUGAAAAGAAAACUUCUGAAAUAAUGUGGCUCUUGCGGAAAUGAAACAUUUAUUAACAACUGAUGUCAUUUUGCUAUUGACAGCGCAAAAGCAUUCUUUCACAUUUGAUAAGGUUUUUGUGCCAACUGCAUCACAAGAAGAUGUUUUCAUAGAGAUUUCUCAACUUGUUCAAAGUGCUCUCGAUGGUUACAAGGUAACUAACAUCUUAAAAUGGCAAAUGAUACUGUGUGUGUCACUGUUUGUUAGACUAAUUAAGAUUGAUAUAAUCCAUUUUAUAGGUGUGCAUUUUUGCAUAUGGACAAACUGGGUCGGGAAAAACUUAUACAAUGAUGGGUAGACCAGGAAACCCCGAGGAAAAAGGGCUGAUCCCACGAUGUUUGGAGCAAAUUUUUGAAACAAGACAGUCUCUUCGAUCUCAGGGUUGGAAAUAUGAAUUGCAGGUAUUUUUCUGAUCUAGUCUUAUAAGUAGCUCUACAUAAGAUAUAUUCUUGUGAUUAGAGUAGAUAUAUAAUUCUCUUAGUCUUGUAUCAUAUGUAUAGGUAUCUAUGUUGGAAAUAUACAAUGAAACGAUCAGAGAUCUCUUGUCAACAAACAAAGAAGCUGCCAGAACAGACAAUGGUGUUUCUCCACAGAAACAUGCUAUUAAACAUGACGCUAAUGGAAACACGCAUGUCGCCGAGCUUACUAUUUUGGAUGUUAAAAGCUCUCGGGAGGUUUCAUUCCUCUUAGAUCAUGCUGCUCGUAACAGGCAAAACAGCUAAAGCCCUUUUCAGUUCGACUCUACACCAUUAUGAGAAAAUUGGGCAUAUAAUUAAAUGUCAUUUAUUUUUUUCCUUAGAUCGGUCGGGAAGACUCAGAUGAAUGAGCAAUCCUCUAGAAGCCAUUUUGUUUUCACACUAAGAAUCUCUGGUGUCAACGAGGUACUAACCAAACUGGCUUUCUUCUUACAGAAUGUUUGUUUUCUGUGAUAAACCAAAGCUGCUUUUUUUAUUCUUACAGAGCACUGAGCAACAAGUACAAGGUGUCUUGAACCUGAUUGAUCUUGCGGGGAGUGAGCGUUUAUCGAAGAGUGGAUCAACCGGAGAUAGACUUAAAGAAACUCAAGUACGUUUGUUAGAAACAUUAAACAAGAUAUUAUGGCUUUUUGCAGUUUUAGCAGACUCUCAAACGUAACUUUCUUUCUUCUUCAGGCAAUCAAUAAAAGUUUGUCGUCUCUAGGCGAUGUAAUAUUCGCCUUAGCAAAGAAAGAAGAUCAUGUACCAUUCCGAAACUCAAAGCUCACAUAUCUUCUCCAGGUACUAAACUAAACCAUCACAAGAUGUUUCAAAUCUUUUUGUUUCUUGAUUUGUGCCACUUAAUAAAACUAUGUUUCAUUUGUAAUCCAGCCUUGCUUAGGCGGUGACUCGAAGACUCUAAUGUUUGUGAACAUUGCGCCGGAAUCAUCUUCAACCGGCGAGUCUCUCUGCUCUCUUAGAUUCGCAGCGAGAGUGAAUGCUUGCGAGAUUGGAACACCACGUAGGCAGACUAACAUCAAACCGUUGGAAAAUCGUUUGAGCCUUGGAUGAGAGAUGGAUUUGAAGUUAAUUAUAUGAAUGAUUGUACUUAAAAUAUAUGGUCACGACUUGAUGAAGGAUGAGGAUGAUUCUAACAAGAAAGCAUGAAGACCUUUUGUUGUAAUUUGUAUAGUUUUGGUUUAGCAUUUUAAUAUCUGUUGUUUCUAUAAUUCUUUUUUCUUUUGGAUAAUACUAAGUAGGAUUUCGCUUCUUCAUGUUUGGAUUCAUAUUAAUAUUUUCUGGGAUGCAACUUGCAAGAUAUUUAUAACUCUUUCUUGUGUUGUGCCUUGAAGUCUAAUGGUAGUAGUGUUUGGUCAUAAUUUUGAUAUGAAUGAUCAAGAUUUGGGUUCGAGUAAAAGGUACUGAGACUAUGACUAAAUCUAGAUUUUAACAUGGAUAACUGAGAUAUAAAUUUGCUAGAGGAACAUGAACAAAAAUCAGAAUUUAAGAUUGUCCGUUUGGGUCUUGUUUUAUUUUUGGGAUUGGAUGGACCAAUUUAUGUUUUGUAAUAAAUGCAAAACCACACAACGUAAAUUUAGAUUUUACUCUUCCCUUCAAUAUAAAGUAACAUAUAAAUCAGGUUAUUUUUGUUUUCAAAUUAAAUUUCUAAAAUGAUUGUAAUAUUAGUCCAAUUAUUUUUCGGAAAGGUGAAAAUGUGAGAUCGAUGAAUAUUCUAAAUGGUAAAAUGUUGCGCUUUUUUAAAAUGGAAAUGUAAUCAUAUAUAGAUGGCGGUUUCGAAAAGAAUAAAAAAACGUAACACAUAACAAGAUAAGAGAUGGUGCAGUUUGCACAUUUUUAGACCAUCAAUAAUGAUGGUUUUAGUAACAAAUAUAUUCCAUUGAUCAACUUGAAACCCCUACUUGAUUAAUCUGAUUCUAAAAAAGUGCUUGUUUUUUUCAUUUAGGUUGUUAAAGAUUUUGUAUUGUUAAAUUGAGCUACAUGUACACCAGAUAAAUUCUAGAUGUUGAUAUAAGAAUCAUUAGAUUCACUUUGACUUGAAAUGUGGUGUGUCAAUUGUAAAAACUAAAAUUGAUUGCGAUAGCUAGGGUCAUACUCUAUAUUCUCCCUCUAACAUAAAAUUUCAUCUUGGAUACACUAGUUUACGUUUAUAUGUUGAAAAAUCUUAUAGUUCAUGUUUAUAUGUUAAAAAAAUUUAUAUUAUAACACUUGUGAAAAUUAACUUUUCAUAGCUCAUUAUCAUUACAUAUAAAUAUUAACUAGUACAAAUCAUUAUAUUCCACCAACUAUUUAUUAGAUUCGUCAUUAGAUAAUUCACUAAACCCUAUAAAUAUUUGUUCUUAUCAAUUAUAACGCGUAAUCGAUUUAUAUUCUAGAACGUAUCGAACGAAUAUAGCAUAGAAAAUGCAUAUAUUACAAUAUGAUUAUUAAGUCAACUCCAGUUGAAUUUCUUCUAAAUGUAGAGAUAAGGUUAAACUAAAUGACAUCUCGAAAUGGCAAAAUUCAUGCCUCCACAGAAUUUGGGAAAAGAACAAGUCAAACUAUAUACUAUAUGUUUUUUAAGUUAAUUACAAAUAGUCAAGUUGAUACAUAACGUCACUUCUGCGCACAUUAAUUCAACUAAAAAGCAACUAGCUUAGCCGAACAAUUUUUCAAAUAAUAGUAGUGUAUUUAUACAAUAAUAAGAAGAAAAUGAUAAACUCCUAUANNNNNNNNNNNNNNNNNNNNNNNNNNNNNNNNNNNNNNNNNNNNNNNNNNNNNNNNNNNNNNNNNNNNNNNNNNNNNNNNNNNNNNNNNNNNNNNNNNNNNNNNNNNNNNNNNNNNNNNNNNNNNNNNNNNNNNNNNNNNNNNNNNNNNNNNNNNNNNNNNNNNNNNNNNNNNNNNNNNNNNNNNNNNNNNNNNNNNNNNNNNNNNNNNNNNNNNNNNNNNNNNNNNNNNNNNNNNNNNNNNNNNNNNNNNNNNNNNNNNNNNNNNNNNNNNNNNNNNNNNNNNNNNNNNNNNNNNNNNNNNNNNNNNNNNNNNNNNNNNNNNNNNNNNNNNNNNNNNNNNNNNNNNNNNNNNNNNNNNNNNNNNNNNNNNNNNNNNNNNNNNNNNNNNNNNNNNNNNNNNNNNNNNNNNNNNNNNNNNNNAUUUGUUUCAUUUUAUGAUAAACUUUACUCAUAAAAACUAUAUUAAGUACAAUCUAUGUAGAGAAUAUACCUCAUUGGUAUGGAUGGAUAUCCCUAAUCAGUAGUAGUUGAUAAGUCUAUUUUAUAUUCAUGGAAGAAACUAAGUUGACGCCCUAUAAAUUUUUAGUAUUGUGUUUAUUAAAAAGAGGUGCUUAUUGGGACAAGAUUCUUCUAAUCUCUGUUUUGAUCGUUCUUAAUUUAAUUUUACCUCAUGUAUAUUUGUUAAAUUUUCGAAUUGAACCUGAGUGAUGUCGAUGUGGGCAUCUUAUAUUUGUAUUUUAAAAAAUUGACACGAAUAAAAUGAUCUCAAUGCUAGGUAGUUGAGAAGUUAAUAUAAAUGUCUAUCUUAAAACACAACAAUAAAAAUUAUGUUUGUAUAUCUAUGUGUUAAAUUAUGUAUUGUAUGAUACCACCAAUACGUAAAAUUUAUUCUGUUAUGUAUAGUUGUCUUUGGUUUGAAUUUGUUAACAGUUAGAAAUUAGAACUAUUUAAACCUCUAACAAUACCUGCUUCAAACUGAUUUAUAUUCUAUACUAUUUACUCUAUCAGUAUAUGUUUUCUAUACGGAAUAUUCUGAGAUUUUAAGGAAUUUUUUUCAUGUAUGUGUGUGUAUGUACGGGAGGAAGCAGAAGAAUGUAUAAUCUCCUAGAUCACGACCAAACGACCAUCCCAACCAUGUUCUCGAAUAUUAUCUGGUUCGAUCCAACGAACCUACUGAUCACACAUAAUAUAUAUAGUACAAUUAUUACUAAUAUAAAAGUUUGAAACAAAAAUGUUUUCAGAAUGAUAGAGUAUGGUUUCGUGGAUAUUAGUUAUUGCUAUAAUAUAAUCGUCGAAACAGAAAGAAAGAAAUCCAUUUUCUUAGGUUAAGAACGGUAAUAUUUUACCAUGCACUAUAUACUACACGUUUACAAUUACACUCAUUUUGAUAAAAAUAAAUUCUUACAAGACAUAUGUUUGUCUUUCUAAUUCUAUUGCUUAAAUUUACUUGAAAACAUUAUAAUUAUAUCAAUUUUACAUAUAUUAAAAUUUCAAAUUAUACGCAAUUUAUUAAAUUUAGGCCGUUUCAAAAUGAUUGAUUAUUUACUUUUUUUUUUUACAACUAAUAAUGAGUUAAUGACAAUAAUUAUAAAAGAUUUAGAAAUAUUUAAUUCUGUUUUUAGUUUUAAAAAAUAAUAAUAUGAAAUUACCAUGAUAUUUGUUCUUAAGCAUACAAUUAUGAUUUAAUGGGUAUGAAAUAAAAUCCUACCAAAAAAAAAAUGGGUAUGAAAUAAAAUAAUUAAAAUAAAAUAUAUUAAAAAAACAUAGAUAAUGGGCUUUAGAAAGCCCAAAAAGAGGAAGAAGAGUGCGCGUGAAAACCACUCUAAUUUUUUUCUCUCAGGAUUCCAAGAUUCCACAAUUCGUCUCCUCCAACAGUUUUCUUCUUCUUCUUUUGUUCUCCUUCCACCACCAACGGCAGAAAUCGAUUUGGCUUAUUAAGUUUCACCUCUUUGGAUCUUCUCUGAUCGCCGCCGGGAAGAUUCAAUUCCCCCCCGGGAGCUCACCAAAACCUCGCCGUCCUUUUUUUCCUUUUCCCCCUUUUUUCACCGGUGAAAAGUUUCAGGAGAUGGUUUCACCCGAGAACGCUAAUUGGAUUUGCGACUUGAUCGAUGCUGACUAUGGAAGUUUCACAAUCCAAGGUCCUGGUUUCUCUUGGCCUGUUCAGCAACCUAUUGGUGUUUCUUCAAACUCCAGGUUUAAUUUCUGUUCACUUCUCUUUCAUCUCUAAGUGCUUUAAAUUAGGGUUCUGAUCUCUUUUCUAUAAAAUUCAAAUCGAUUUGGGGUGAAAUCAGUUUUAAUAUAUUGAAGAUUUCAUUUGGGUUAGUCAUGGUAUGCGAAGUUGUAUCGUUAAACUAAGAAAGGGCUAAUUUUUUUGUUUGUUGUCUUCGAAUUUGAGAGAAGAAACUAGAAUUUUAAGUGUAAAGUAACAGACUUUGGCUAAGUUCAAGCUUGUGAGAUUGUUUGAGUAAGCUAUAUAGAUGAAGCUGAGACUUUAUUGUUAGUUCUUAUUCAUUGAGAAUACAUUUUUAUGUUAAAAUUUUGGGUUCGUAGCUUGUUUAGAUGUCCCUACUGUGGGUGAAAUGAUGCUAAGUUGGGAAGCGUGGCUUCAGGAGAUGUUUUGGGUGUGUUUAUCUAAAGUCAACUGUGUGUGCCGGACAUGUUUUUAGUGUAACUUCUGACAUGUUGCUUGAUAUUGGGAAUCGAUUGAUCUCUAUCACUUUGUUAGGUGGGAAUUAGAUUCCUUUUUCUGUAUAUAGCCUUCUAAUAUGAGUAGAUGGUUUGACCUUACGAUGUCAAUAUUAAGUUAUAUAAUCUUCUUCCUUGGAAGUGAGUAGUUGUUAAGUUUGCUGCAUGGUUGACUAUAGAUCGUCAGAGCUGUGUUUUUUUUUGGAAAUAGCUAUAAUGAGUUCUGGUUAUUAUCUUUCGAUUGUCUGCAUUGUAGCAAUUACUUAGUUAGUUCGAUGUAUUUCUUUUUGGUUCAGCAUUGGAGUUGAUGGCUCGGCUGGAAACUCAGAAGCCAGUAAGGAACCUGGAUCCAAAAAGAGGUAAGAUUUUAUGGUUUAACCAUCUUAAAAACUUGAGAAAUCGAUAUGGAAUUGUUUAUGGUUCUCUUGUUGCGGGGAUCUGUAUUGGCUCUCUUGACAUAUUUUGGGCUUGACAAGGUAUCAGAAAAAGUAAUCCUGGUCAUUACUUGUCUCAGGGGGAGAUGUGAAUCAUCCUCUGCCAAUAGCUCGAAAGCAUGUAGAGAGAAGCAGCGACGGGACAGGCUGAAUGACAAGUAAUUUUUUUUGUAUAUUCUUCUGUUUUUCCUCUUUUAUAGGAACUAAAAAUUAUUGGCUUUAAAAUGAAUAACAGGUUUAUGGAGUUGGGUGCAAUUUUGGAGCCUGGAAAUCCUCCCAAAACAGACAAGGCUGCUAUCUUGGUCGAUGCUGUCCGCAUGGUGACACAGCUACGAGGAGAGGCCCAGAAGCUUAAGGACUCCAAUUCAAGUCUCCAGGACAAAAUCAAAGAGUUAAAGGUGAAAUUUGUAAUCCUCUUUUCUCCACAUAAUAUCAUCAAAUGCUUACUAGUUCCUGCAUUAUGUCAACCAGACUGAGAAAAACGAGCUGCGAGAUGAGAAACAGAGGCUGAAGACAGAGAAAGAAAAGCUGGAGCAACAGCUGAAAACCAUGAAUGCUCCUCAACCAAGCUUUUUCCCAGCCCCACCUAUGAUGCCAACUGCUUUUGCUUCUGCGCAAGGCCAAGCUCCCGGAAACAAGAUGGUGCCAAUCAUCAGUUACCCAGGAGUUGCCAUGUGGCAGUUCAUGCCUCCUGCUUCAGUUGAUACUUCUCAGGAUCAUGUCCUUCGCCCACCUGUUGCUUAAUCAAAAAAAAUCAUCAAUCGGUUUGCCUUUUGCUUCCGCUGAAAAGAAAAGUCUCCAUUUAUUUUGCUCUCCUCUUUCUCGGCUUUCUUAGUCUUAUCGUUGCUUUCACUUUAUCGUGUUAUCAUCGUAAUUGUUAUCUGUUGAACAAUGAUAUGAUAUUGUAAACUCCCAAUUGCUUCGCGCAAUGUUAUCUAUUCACAUGUAAAUUUAAGUAGAGUUUGGCAGUUCGUCUCUCACUUUAUGUGUUCUUACAUUAAUACAUAGAAUGGGUUUUACUUCCUCGCCAUAAGAGUUUGAAAGUACAAAAAAAUAAGAAACAGGGAGAGACUGAAGAGACAGCAAAACAUGAUCUGGUAGAGCAGUGAGAGCUCCAGUGAAAAGUUUGCUCCUAUGUUCUGAUCUGUGAAUCUCUCUCUUCUCUGGGUGCCAAUGUAGGAAAUGAGUUCUGGUAUGUGAUUAUCAUGAUGCUCUAAUGUGACAGCUCUUGAUGAACCUGUCAGACGAGUCAAGAUAUUUAGCCCAGAGAGGACGUAGAUGAGGAAAUGCUAUAUCAAGCCAAGGCUUUGCUCUUCCAUUGAAAUGUACAACAGCGGCGCUUUCAGCAUCAGCAAAGCUCGUGGUCUCUUGGUAUCCAAGACCCAGCAUAUGCCAGAAAGGAUCUAUGGUCUGGACAUGGCCAUGGAAAGCUAUCAACCCGGGAGGCAAAGUUCCAAGUUGCCACAAACUCAGGUCUGAUUUUAAGUUCUGCAACAUAUACAUGCAAAUAGUCAGAUUUAAGUUGAUAGUCAGAUUGUAGGUUAGUUGAUGAUUUUGAUUUACCUCGUCAAGCCAAUGAUAGUAAGUGGAGCUUAUGUUAGUCCUCCUCCAAGCCGCUAGGUCGAAAACAUUCAUCCCGUAUGCCCAAGCACAUUCAUCUGGAUCGAAAUUUUUGGCUAUUGUCGGGUUUGAGAAAUUGAGGUAACUCUUGAACUUCUUUGACAUCACAAAUUUGUCUUCUCCUCUACAUGUCUCUACUGCUCCAUUUACUUUCCCAUUCAUGUCAAUGUCCCAAAGAGGUGAAAGAUCAGUUUGGAUGACAAUGUCAUCGUCUAGAAACACAACCUUGUUUAGGCUCGGAAACAACUGCAAAAGAAUAGCAAAGUCAGUUUUAGGUUGCGUGUCUAAUAUAUGCUGUUGAGUAAUCUUCACCAGUCAAAGAUCAUACUUACCUCUGGGAGAUGAAUGCGGAUGUGAUUCAUCAAGGAGUUGUAUUUAGGGCUUAGCGCCUGUAACUUAGCAGCGACAACAACCGGAUUCUCGUUGUUAUUAGCCACAAUAACCGAUGAUCCGCCUCUGAACUGAGACCUUACUCUCUGAUCCUUCUCCAUAGCUUCCAAAACCGGAACUUUCCCUUUCGAUAACCAAUCAAAAUGAUGCAGUGCCUUGACCUCAAUUAUUGCAGGAGACAGAGGAUGCAAGGAGAACCAAGCUUGCAUUGGGAAGUAUGUUUUCCUAUCCGUUAUGAUGUGAAGAACGAUCUUAUGAGGUCUUAGAGCGUUUUUAACCAAAGACUUAGCCACAACAGAAGCUGCAAGAAUAUUGUCUGAAGCCAAGACAAAGUGAAAGUAGUUGUUGUCCACUAAGGUUGGGACUAGCUCAGCUUCUGGAAGCUGGAGACGCGCGGCUGCGUUAAUCGAAUGUUCGUUGGCUAGUUUAAGAGCUAAACAGUGAAGUUGUUUGGGUAUGCUGCUUGAUGCGACGUGUCGAUACAAAUACUCUUGGAUCUUAGCCAUUCUUGUUCUUUGUUCCAUCAAUGUCACCAUUUCUUUUAGCUUCUGAGCAAAUUCUCUUGCGUCAGCUUUGCUUCUUUUGACUUCAGACAUGAAAUCUUGAAGUGUUUGAGGUAUAUCUGUUCUUCCUUUGAGUUCUUGUUCGCUUAAAGGCUGUUCUAAAACUUGGUACAUACCUUCUGGAACAUUCUGGAAAAAAAACAACACCACUCUGUUUCACCGUAGUAAAUAUAUAAAUGUGCUCCAGAAUCUGAAAGUGAAGUAAGAUAGAUAACUUACACCAGAAUCAACCCUUCUUCCUAAAAGCUUUGGCUUUAGUCUUUUCCCUAAGCAAGCUGUUCAUUACAAAGAUAAAACAUUUGUCGAUUAUUUAACUGUGAUCAUGAGAUUAAGUAAUUUAUCUCUUUAGGUAAUUUUGAAAAUAUCUUUUAAAAAUCUUAUUAAGCUUGACCAUAAUACUACAAAAUUAACCUGAAACAAACCGACCAGCUCUUGGAUUAUUCACUUUUGAGCGUAAAUCUCUAGAAAUUAUUCCAUUUUCUUCGUUUAUAUUAUUUUCUUACAUGAGAUUAAGGAUAAUAUAUUUAUUUCUCAGCUUGACGUAAUUCUGCAUGUAGUAUACAUGAAAAGUAAAAUAUGUAUUUCAGUAAAACUAUAACAUGUUCACUAAUUUUUUACAUAAUUUCCGGAUUAAGGAGAAAAAAAUAUUAGAAAUAAGGGAGGGGAGUGGAAGAAACGUACCAAGAGAGGAACAAGGAGAGGGCUCGCCGUCGAUAGAAUCAACGGUGGAGAGAACAAAGACGAAUCGGAGAAGAAAAGUGAAGAAGAGCAGAGAGUAAAACAUCAUUUGAUAAGAGAAUCUUCUAGAACCAACCUUCACUUUUAUGAACUCUCUCAAUCCUUUACCUGUGACCACAGUCACAUGUCUCAAGCUGGGAGAUAUAUGCAACUGCAUCUCUCUCUGUUCUUUGCUCUGUUUUAUGUCUCUGUUUUUCUCUAUUUCUAUGAAUGUGUGUGUGUUUUGUUUGAAGGGAGAUGAAUGUCCGAAGAAGGAAACCGGAUCUCACGUAGUUAUGUAUUGUAUGGGGGUUAAUUCAAAAGGGUCUAUGUCAUUUACCUAACCUUGCUUUGUGUUUAGGUUAUUAAUGGCAGAUCAUAACUCUGGUGUUAUAUAUUUUUUUUCAUUUUUUUUGGUUUGGGAUACAAAUAAACUUAACUCUGAUGUUUCAUGUACGGAAAAGGAUGUGUGUCAUGUGUGUUUGUUAGAAAUUGAAGCACCACGGUUUAAUGUUUCGGUUUUUCCCGGUUAUGGUAUCAGUUUUCGGUUCGAUUUCCCAAAGCUGGUGUCAUCAAAUACAAUGUCACACGAUUGUUUCUGUAUCCGAUUCUUGUUGGCACGUUUUGGUACUUGUUAUUUAGGGUUUAGUUUAUUUGUAUUUGUAUGAAUUAUGAAAAGCUUCGGGUUCUUUUCGGUUUAGUCUGUAUACUACUCGGUUACAUGUUCGAAUCACGAACCUCUUGAUAUUAAUUGAAUGCCACACUUUUUAUGAUCACUAAACCUAGAAAUUUCGUGGUCUUUCAACAUAUGAUUUUUUUAAUUACGUGUAAUUUGCAUUGAAUUUGGUACAUUUUGGUAUAUGUAAGUCGGUUCGGUUAGAGGAUGUGGAUCUAGGAUUUGGCUUUAUGUUGAAGGAGAGAAAUUAAAGAGGCAAAACAAAAGACAAGUCAAAGGCAAAUGCAACCCCCAGGUGUUAAAAAUAUUGAGAGUGUAGAUGAAAAGGAGCUGUUUGGUGGUUACAAGACAUAACUUUACAUCUAAAUAAAGUCUUUGAACAAAGACAUUCGAGCUUCAAUCUCGGAAUUUACUUCUUGAGGACUCAUUUCUUCUCUAAUUUUGAUUCCGACCCUUUUCUUUCUUAAGUUGUUGUUAUCUCCCCCACCCAAUGACCCAAACAAGAAAGAAGUCUUGGUAGUUUGUUACGUUAGACUUUUUUGGCUUUCGUUCGUAAUAUUUGCAUGUUUUAAUUUCUGCUAUGGAAACUUUUUGGGCCUAUGCGUGGCUAGCUAUAGCCUAUAGAAUACCAUAAUCUAAUAUCUUGCAAAACAAAAAACUCGAAAAUGUAUCCAUGUUCAGAUUUUUUGUUAAUGUAUAUGCUUGUAUAAGAUUCAUGAUGAAUACAACAUAAAUGAUUUAGUACAUCCCAUCUGUUAAGUUUGGUUUCACGAUGCUUCGAAUUCAUGAGAUUUCACGAAACUUUAAAACUUUCCUCAUCUCCUUGUCGACCUUGUGGUGGUCAUGAUUUGAUUUGAUUUUUUUUCUUUUUUUCAUAUACCCGAACGAUUAGUUUUUCUCUUCUUCUUGAUAUUGAUAUUGCGUUGGGUCAAAGUCUGAAUAGUGAAUACUAAAUAAACACAAGGUUAAAAAAGAUUAAAGUUAACUUUUAUUAAUUUCGAAAAUAUUAUACUAUAUGAAUAUAUAAAUAAACAUAUAGUGAAACCACAAUGUUAAUUUUCUAACAUACAUAACAUAUGAACUUCGAGAAGAAUUCUGAAAAUAUUAUGAAAAAAAAAACAUGCAUACGAUUGUAACCAUAUUAUAAAUAAAUACAAAUAACAGGAAAGACGUUAAAUAUAAAUCACUUAUGAUGACAUAUAUCUUAAAUAUGAUUUCAAUAGCUAUAAUAGCCUUUCAUGGAAUUGGCUGCCAUGUCUAAGGACCCAUGCUUGGAUACUAGCGAGGGUGAUAUGAAUUUAAGAUAAUACAUCUUCCUUAAGAUGCAUUUUGUCAGCUUAAACCGUAGGUAAACAAACAUACCGCCUAGCGUCAAGCCAGCGAUAGCAAGAGUGGCAUAGAGCAAACAUUUUGUUUCUCUAAAAUGUGGCAAAGUGACCGCUGUUGCCGCCACAUAAGCGCUUGCCAUGGCUACUACAGCGACCCACAUCAUCCAAUGUGCUAUAACCAAGAACUUCUUAAGUGAAUCCUCUCUAUAAGGUAUAAUGCUGAGGAGAAGAAUGACCAUACUAACUGAUGUAAACAAUGCAAUGCUAUUGCUUAACGAGAAGAUCAUGAAAGCUAGGGUUCUUCCUGCGGUUGCUUUCCCUAUGUAAGGGUUUUCUUGAUACACCCCACCAGGCGGGUUCAGACCGGAUGUGAAAGUGAUCGAUGCAAUCAAGACGGCAACUAUUGUGAUUGAGUUCCUAGCGUUUUGCAAAGCUUCCAGUUGCAUCUCCGACUCCUUGUUAGAACUCUGUCUACUUUGAGCGCUAAGCAUCCCGAGCUUCUUCAGUUCAUCUAAUACUUGGAUCUCAAGAAUUCGCAUUUCUCUACGACUUGAACGAUCAGACAUCAGAGCGAUAGUUAGCUGACGGAAACCUUCGUCAUCUUUGUUGAGAAGGUCAAUCGCUGUAAAGCCCUUGUUGUUUUUGGUGGUGACUUCUAUUUUUGUUUCGUCCAUUAUGUAACUUACCAGCUGUGAUAUAUAUGUCCGAAUGGAUUAUAUUAGUCAAUAAGGAAACAAUAAAAAAACAGAAACGGAAAAUUUUAAAAUUUCACGUCAUUUUUAUUUUUGAUAACUAAGAGAUUUGGAGUACAUAAUUUCAGAUCUCUUUACUUUUAAAUGCAUUUAAUCAAAUAUAAAUAAACUCAUAGAUAGAAGCAAAACAUCCCAUGAAUCUGUAUUGACUAAACACUGAAAGUAUUAUUUGCAUGAGAUGUUGUUAGAAUAUGGAUAGAUCGAUCCUAUAACAUAUACAUCUAACUAAUUAAAUCUUCAACAUGCAUGCUUCUGGCUAUUAGCAAAACAGACCUCAAUGUGAGCUAUAUUUGAUCAUAACAUAGUCUAUGUUUGGUCUUACAACAGAAAAAUAAAAAAAAGAAUAAAGAAUAAAGAGAAAGAGAAAACAUACGGCAAUAGAUCCUACGGAGGCGGCAACGUGAAGCACAUUAUUGCCAUCUGCAUCGAGCUGGUAGAGAAGUUGGCCCAACUUUUCACGCUGAGCCAUGAAGAUGAAGGCUUCGUUCUUCUUGUGUUUUGCAGCUAUAUGAAAGACAGUUUCUUUCUUUCCUCGUGUGACUGAUUCGAAACAAUAGGGCACUUCAUCGUGAUAUCUACUAAGGAUUUCAAUAGAACCCAUCAUUGCCGCACAAUGUAAAGGUGUCAAGCCAUCCGUAUUCAUAAUUUCUUCAUGUAUUGGAUCAUCUAGCGUUUCUCUCUCGCACUUCUUGGCCAUCUGAAUUAAGGUGCUCGUGUGUCCCAAGCUAGCAGCAAAAGGAAGAGGAGUGUCACCUUUGGAGUUGGUGGAAGUGACUAGGGAAGGGCAGAGCUGUGUGGCUAGGUGCAAAACUGUUCCUUCGUUUGUUUCCGUCAUCAUAAACGAAUUCUCUUCGACGAACUGAGAAAACUUUAGACUACUUCAGAUAUAAAUUUGUAUUUGGUGUUUUAAGCUUGUUAAUAUUCAUUCUCUAAAGGGUUCCUUUAUAUACUACUCUUUAAAGUCAAAACCACGAUCUCUUCCUCAAAAAGUAUAUUUUAUUAGUACAUAAUAUAUAUAGUUUCAAGUGGCUUGUUAUCAGCUUGUGGAAGCUUUGAUAUAUCUAGCUAAUAGCUAGAGACAUUCUUUUUUGUUAUGUUUAGUUUCAUUCUCUUAAGGUUUUAUUUAAGUACUCUACUCACUAAAGUCAACCAUGUUCUCUUCGUCAAGUGGCUUGAGAAAACUUUGAUCCAUUUGAGAUUAAAAUUGUUAUAUUCAUUCUCUUUAAGGGUUAUUUUAUUUACUACCAGAGGCAGACCAAUUUUUUGUUUAUUUUUCUUUACUGGAUAGUGGCUGUACAAAAAAAAAUCAAUAUAAAACAAAGUUUGUGUAUUACUCCUAUGAAAGAAUUUUGAAAACCAUAAUCCCAUAUUUAUUUCUUCUUUAUUUUAGGGUUUUCACUUAUGUGAUUUCCUAUGUGAUAUGUUACAAUUGAAAACAUUGUUUCUUUUUCUGCAACAAUAUGUUUUGCUGAUAUAUGUUUCCCUUUAUUUUGACUUCUUUUUGUUAAACAAUACAGUAUAAUUUAGUUGCUCAAUAAACUUAAACCAACAUUAAAUCAAUAUAAUGAACAAGUCGAUAAGUAUAAUAAGGUUUAUAAUGAUCAUUUCUUUAAUAGAUACUAGUAUUAUUAAUGAUGCACGAAACUAUUGACAGCCUACGUAUAUAAAUCAUUUCCAUUAACUACAUAUUCAAUAUGACAUACAUUGUAUAAAGUCAUCUUUACAAUUUAAUUGGAGGUAAAGGUUGUAAUUAGUGUUAAUAAUCUCAUUCUCUUUAGGGUCCACUAGGGUUUUUUUUUUGUUUGGUCAACUAGUUUUAAAAAGUUAAAACCAUGUUGUAAAUCUUAUCAAAAACACUCUCAAGCCUAAACUAAUAUUUAUGACAAAUAGCACAAUAUGACAAUACAAAAAGGAGAUGGUAUCAACCAUUCCUAGCUACAAGCCUACAAUCCUACAAUAUAAGAAAGACUCGUUCUUCCCUUAAUAACAGCUAAAACAUUUAAAGUAAUUCAAUGGAACUAGAUUGCGUUGUUCAAUUAUCUCUGGUUAACCGGUUCAAUAUCAUCAAAGAAACUCUAUCCUAUUUAGGUUUGUGGUACGUUAAGAUUUAAAACAGACGGUGUUUCCCUUUCCACAAAAAAACUAGAAAUUUACUUAUCUGAAUAUUCAUCGGUCUAAAGUUAUUUUGACAAGUGUCACUGUUUUUUUUUUCUUUCAAAUUAGAUCAAAUAGAAAAAUCUCAUAUUGGAAACAUGGAGAAAAGUCAUUUAGUUUGUAAAAGAAGAUGUUUGUGUCUUACAUCAACAGCCUUGAUAACAAUGCAUGUUGUAGAUGAGAGGUAAAAAGAAAGCAUAUUCAUACUUAAACCGGGUUAGGCUUGGAUGAGAAAGAAAAAAAAUCAUUUUCUACUUUCCAAACUUCUUUAAUGAUGAAAAUACUAAAUUUUUAUUAUUUUGAUCUUUACAUCCUAAAGAAUCAAUCAAUAGGCUAAUAAUAUUCUGUGGGAAAAAGAAAAAGAAAGUAAGAAAGCUAUUUACAACCUAAAAGAUAUGUCAAUUUUCCUUUUUCUAUACAAUUUUCCAGAGUUAAUAUUUCUUUUUUUGUUCUUCUGUUGUUGGAGCCGAGUUUGCCUGAAAAAAAAAAUGAACCAAUAACAACUUCACCUUCUUCUAAUCCACCACAUCCUCAUCAUCUUCACUGUGAUUCUUCUCCUCUGCAGUAGUACCUUCUUCUUUAUUUAUAGGCUCGCUUUGUGUCUCUUCUCCGCUAUGUACAGCCCCGACAUCAGUCUCUGUUCCAUGACCCUCCAGAGGAGCCACUUUUUCACCUUCUGUAGUGUUCUUUGGACUCUGCAUUGAUCUGUGCGUCAAACAUAAAUAUUAGUGACAAGAAAGUGAGACAGAGACAAAGAAAACAACUUUAUUUUUAAGUGUUGAGCAUAAUCAGAUUUGGACAACUCACUCGUUCAUCACUUGUUGGGAUCUUGGAGAUUGGAGAUAACCCCAGACUGGAACCAAGUCUCUUGUUCUUGCUUCAAUUGUUCGAGUUUGGAUAUCCAAAAUCUCCAUCUCCCCUCCUCCUUCACCACUAAUCUCUUCACCCCGAUUCAAUACCAGUUCUUGAAACCUAAACUGUUUUGUACAAAAUACGAAAGUAUGAGAGAUCAUCCAAACAACACAUUAGCAUUCUCAAAAAAAAAAAGGAAACUUUACAUUUCGCCUUGCCCAUAAGGGUAGCUGAGCCGGCAGAUAUGUUUGCAACUCUGCUUCAAAUAUGUACAAAUGACGCUUGUCCUGCACACGGGUCGUUCCUUUCUUAGUUACUUUCCAAGCUUCCUCAACACUCUGUUUUCUUUCAACCUCCGGAAACACUUUACUUUUAGAAUCCACUGAUGUUCCACCUCCAUAUAUGUCACUGUUGUGAUCUUGCGUCUCUCUCCUGGACUGGUUUUGGAUCAUGGACCACCUUCUUAUUGGAUCUACCGCUAAUAUUCCUUCAGUCUCUAAACCUGACUCAUAAUCGUAUCCUGUCAUCACCGCAUUCUCAUGACCAGCCGAAUUCUCCCGUAAUGCAUACUCUGUCAGACAUCCAGAAGGGGCGAAAACCAGAAGAUUCGUCUUGGAGCAAAAAUCAGUAGGAAAACCAUAGUAGUUAGUGUUACUCUUUUCAUCGCCGUAGCAGAAAGAGGAUGUGAUUGCACCCGGAACAGAGCCUCCAACCAUUCCAGCUGCUGCAGAUGCUGCCCCACUCAUGGUCCCAAUCCAUCCGCUGCUAUAUGUGCUUCUUAUCCUAUUGAUUGCAGAUAAAGGAACCGGAGAAUCGGUCUCUUUCUCAGGAUUAAUCUCAAACAUAUGACUUGUCCCUCUUGAAGAGCUGACCACUAUCAAAUUGCUAUCAUAGCUGAAACUGAUGUCUUGUAUGACCUGAAAAAAAGAACACAUCAAGGUUAAACAAAAGGACCGAAUUUUCCACAAUUGUAGGUGAAGGGAUCUGCUUACCGCAUUAGUGAAACCGCGCUGAAGCCUGAACAGAUGGGCAAAAGUCUUUGUGUUUACAUGCCUACUUUUAGAUAUUGUUGGCAUUAUUCUAAAGACGUUAAUAUUGUGCCCCUGAAUCGAGGCAGUCACCAAAAGCAUGCCGCUUGGAUCAAAGCACAAAGCUGAAAUCGGACUCUUGUGUGCCUUAAACUGUGCUAUGACGCUUUUGUUUGUGAUAUCUUUGAUAAUAACCUGCACAAACCAUAGAUAUUUUCAAAGAACAAGCCAAUUGAAAUCAACUUGACAUCAAAACAACUUGAGGAAGAUUUUGAGUAUACCAUUCCAAUACUAUCUGCAUCUGGCACAUUUUCAUUAGCAACUCCAAUGCUUUUCAAACCAGGAAUAAACGGAUUGGGCAGAACCUCUGAGCAGUAUCGAGACAAUGACCUGAUCCCUUUGUCUCCAAGAUUUACUAUCCCAGAGGCGAGCUGCUUACUCGAUUCUCUUGCAAGCUGUGCAAUACUGGGUGAUGAGGACAAUGAGAGAAGAUCUGAAGUGAAAACGGCAGAACCUGAGUUAGCAAUACGACUUCCACUAUAUGCAAUCCAUCGAGGACCAACUGCAAGAGGGCCAUAUCCAAUACCCAAGGAGCCACAGACAAUGGAGUUAGUGACAAUCAUGUAAUCCAUUUCCAAUGUUGUAGCAUCAAAGCAAUGUAUCUGCAAAUACAUGUUUUCAGUUACACAUUGUUAGUUUCAGAAUAGAAAAAUCACAAAAGCAAAAGUGACAACAAUAUGACAUUCGAACCUGAGCUGCUUGCAGUACAGCAACAAUCCGGGAACUGCACCUAACCGAAUAGACUAUAGACCGGAAUUUCAGGGUAUGCACAUAAGACUGAGACUUUAACGAGUAGACAUAGACAUCUGUAGGAGUAACUACAGUUUCACUUCCGGGGUUCUCAGAACUGAUCUGUUUGCUUGACUUUUCUUCCCAAGAACUGUCACCACACACAGCCAAAAGCGGACGGCUCUCAUAGAACUUGUCACCUAACACUUCCGGGUUUAGUGGAUUCCGUAGCAUUUGCAUAAAGAAUGCUUGCCCAUCAUGUGCAGAAACUAUAACGUGAACAUUCUCUGUAUCUUCAACAUCCCAAACUUGAAACCCAGACUGAAAUGCUAGUAGAAGAACUCUCCGAGCAUCACCAUCCUCUUUCUCUAGCUUAUCAAACCCCGCCCACAGUACCUUUCCCAAUCAAAAAACCAUAUAAAGAUUCAAAAUUCGCCAACCAAGACUGGAUCAAACAUUCCAACAAACCUAAAGAUCGCUCUUUUAAGGAAUCAAAAUCCCAAAAUGAUUCUUGCCACCUAAAUAGAAACACAGCCAUGAUUUGCCCUCAAGUAAAGAAAGUUUCCAAAUUUACCUGAUCGUGAUUAGAAUCAACGUCCUUGACAGCGGAAGAAGCAGCAGAUGCGGCGGAACGAGCAACCGUAGAAGCACCAGAAGAAAUCACCCUAAGGCAAUUAGACAAAGCACGAAACGAGCUCCGAGCUGAUCGCGACAUUACUCCGUCCGAAGUCGCCGUCGACUUCGGAGAUGAACCGUCGCCGUUCUUCCCCAUAAUGUUGGAAGCUCCUCAGUAUCAAAAGCCUUGAUCUUUAGCCUCCAAAUCAAAACAAAGCUUCGAUUUUUGUUUUACCUCCCUCUCUCUAUAUCUACGCCUGAGAUUUUUUCCCAAAGUACAAAAAAUGAAUCUCCGAGAAAGACGGGGGAGGAGAUAAAAAUUGCAAAUUUUAAAAAAAAUUCCAAGAAAAAGUAACGAAAUUGAAACAAAUUGUGAUUAGAAAUGAAAUUAGAAUCUUAAAAAAGGAGAAAAACAAAAUACACGCAAACUCGAAAUUUUUUGCUUCUUCUUCAAGCUGUCACGAAGCAAGAAACACACACACAAUCGAAGAAACAAAAAAAAGAUCGAAUUUUUACAAAACCCCAGAAGAAAGAAUCAAACGAUCAAUGAAAAUGAUUGUAAUCAUAUACCUAAAGAAUCAAUGAAGCAACAAAUUUCGUGUUUUUGUUUUCUGGAAUUUGGAGGUUAAAAUUGUAAAGAAUUAGAAGAAAACAACAAAAACAAAAAAGAAUUAGAAACGUUGUCUCGAAGCAGUAAUCUGAUUAAGACUUUAGAAAACGUUUAAGAGGAAGAAAAGGGGGAAAGAUUUUGAGGAUAAGAGCGAAAGAGAGAGAGCGAACAAACAAAGAAGAAGAAGAAGACCUUACUUAAGAGACGAAAGCUGCUCUCUUUCAAAACUUCAUUUAUGAUUUUUUUUUUAUGAUUUUUUUUUUUCAUUCGUUGCUUAUUUAUAUACUUUAAAAAUUUUGGAUUAAGUUCUCUCUUUUACGUAUCGUCUUUGUAUUUACUACAGAGAGACUCAUCUUCCACGUCUCUUUCCUCUGUUUUAAUUAAAUUUUUAAUUAUUGGGAAUGUCUGGUUUUUGUUUUGUUGGUUAUACUAUUAACUUAUAUUUUUAUACAAAUAAUUAUUAAACCAAACGAACCUAAAUAAUAUUUAUUGAAGUUUGAUUGAUUUUAAUUCUCGUAUCAUCUCUUUUAACGCGUUAAUUUAUUUUUAUUAGUUAGCCAAAAAAAGAAGUUUAUAUCAUUUAUAAACCGUGUUGGAACCCAUUUAGCUAUUUUCAGAUUUAUCUACUCUAAACCAAUUCAGUCCACCGUAAUUAGUACGACGACGUGCGUCAGUCUUUUUUUCUUUUCAUGUGACGUGCGCUAGUCGUAGAUGAGGAAGUUUCAUUAAUUUAGUUUAGUAAUUAAAUUUGGUUCAAACUCGGUUUAAAAUGGUGUUUGGUUUAGUUAGACCGAUCACUAACUCAAAAAAACACUGACCGGAAGACAAUACAUGAAUGAUGAAUCCAUGAUGAUGAUAUUGGAGUUAGAGAGUUUAGGCUUAUGUUAGGUCCACCAGAUCAGUAGCUUUCUUCUUCUUCGUUUCCGGUUGAUUAAUGGAGGGCUUUGACCAUAAUUAAGAUAAGAUUUAAUUAAAAUGAAAACUUGGCUAGCAAGUCACUUCCUCUGUUUUCACGUACAAGUCAUGUGGAUCUUGUCCUAAUCCAAGUAUACAUAUGUAUGCUUACAAUACAAUUCUCUAAAACUUCUUGGAACACAAACAUGAGACUUUAAGAGAGUGAGAUGCUAACGAUUUUGAAUACCCAACGAACACUCUUUAUUUGUGGCGUGAGCAGUCUGAAACACAGGUUUCACCUGUUGUGGUCCAUGCGUACCUUGGAAUCUAACUUGUUGAGCCGCCUUUUCAGUGUAGGACACACGCACAUCUUGUCCACUUGUCUUAGCUCAUUGCAACACAUUUUAAGAGCUGGUUGAUGAUGUUAAAGCAUUGGGUUCUCAUUGUCCUCAAGAUUAACACCAAGAGUGAUUAACACCAAGAGUGAGCUGAUCAAAGUCAUCAGCUUCAUAUUCAAUUCUUCCUUGUUGAGCUCGCUUGUGGAUCCAUUGCUUGCAAGUUCUUAGUUACUGUUGCUGACAUAAACUCCUUCUGACACUUAAUUACCUUGUUGUGGGUUACUAACAUCAUUUUCUUCGUCCAGUUCUCCACAACUGCACGGUAAAUGGAUGUGUGGCGGCUAAGAGGAUGAAGAGAGCAAGAGUUGCGAAAACGUGAAUAAGCUUAGCCAUGGGUUAUAUGAAUCUAGGAUUUGAGGUUUUUUAUAUGAUGAAGUGAAGUGGAAGUGGGGAUGGAUUUAUUUAUGAAGGAGAUCACUUUUGCAUGGUUAAUACGUGUAAUAAGCAUGAAGUUAAGUCUGAACACAUGGAAGUUGGGACAUAUAUAACCCGUAUGGAGUUUUGUUUGGAUUAGGUGUUCGAAAGUUUAAUAAUGUGUACAUGUGUCCAGUGAAUGAUCGAGACAAGUCUCCGCAACUACAACACCAUGCAUGCUAACUUUUUUCUUUUCUUUUUUGUUGGUAAUUGAAUCUACAAAUUGUGAUUUCCAACACAUUACAGAGACAUGUACAGCUUGAUCGCGGAAGUGAAUAGAAGGAGAAAAUAUUAGGACGCACAACAACGAGAUUGAUUAAGCUACAUGUACACGUCCCAAGUAUAUAUAUAAGCUUAUAUCAUAAUACAAUCAAUAAUUUAUGGAAUAAUUUAUCUUAGGACACAAAUUAAAUAUGACCUAUACCCAAGAAAAGUAUUUGAAUAAAGGCUCUCUAGGACAUGAACGAUGGUAUUCUAUGACGUUCCAAGAUCAACAAAGUUUCUUUCCUUGCAGAUUUAUAGUUCAAGAUUAUAACCUUUCCCUUUUCUAAGUCCAACCUCAAAUCUUCUGUGCGACAUUUUUUGAUGAGCGUACGUAGCUGAUUCAUAUGCCGCACUUCCUCUCCGUUCACCUUCUCGACCUGUUUAUACCAUAAUUAAAUAUGUACUAGAUUAUAUCUCUUUUCCAGACACAAAUACCUCUCUGAUGAUCAAAGACACGCAUGAUCAUGCAUGUUACGUUGUUUUGGGACAACUUUUUUAUUUGAAACAUGAGCAAUAAAUUAAUUGACUUACCUGCAAGUUUUUGAAACUAUAGUAUCCUACGUUGAUAUCAUCCAAUAACACCUACACCCAAAAAAAAAAAUAGAAAACAAAAUUAAAUAAAUAAUUAAGAAUAUAUACGAGAAUAUAUAAUUAAGAAGAUAAUAGUUGUUUUCAUGCAUAUAUUCGAAAGUUGAAACUCAAAUUAAUUACUAGGUAAGAGUUUCAUGGCCAAAGAAAUAGGACACAAAAGAAGGACCAUGUUAGCUCAAGAGUCAAGCCUCAAGUUACAUCUCCAUGAAGUUAUUCUUAAAACAGAUUGGGUACAGAUUAAAGAAGCACAAACCUGAGAAAUGAUGAUGGUCUCUUCAUGAUAUUUUUCUGGCCUCCUUUCUAAUGCACAGUCACAUCUGGUGGAAGAAUUUUUAAUGUUUGUCUUAGAAAGAGACGCAAAGAUAAAUCCCGCAAAUAUGUACCAUUUUGGAUAAAAUGGAUCAAAUUCGCGCACCGGAACCAGCCGUUGUUGCAUCUGCGUAUAUAUAUAUUCUCCAUUCAAAUCCAAUAUGAAGCAACCAAGUAAACAAGAACUAGGGGACAAUGAGAAUAACUAUAUAUUUCUAGCAAAAUAUGUCACUUAGCUAGCUAAGAAAGUAGAUGACUUACGGAGUUUAAACUGAUUUUGAACUCAUGCUCUCUUCCAUCUCUUAAGACCUUAAAUACACCUUUUUCACCUUGUUUCUUCAUAGAAACCAAAUGAUUGAAAUGUAUACGUUCUUUCCCCCGUAAAAGAACUGCACAUGAAGCAUAUAUAAAAUUCAAUCCAUAUCAACACAGUUGGAAAAGAUUCAUAUCAAAUCAGUAUUACUAUAUAUUUUUGUGAGCUAAGAGAAUGGUAGUAAAAAAAAUUAAGAACUAUUACUUGUCUCAUCAUUUCCAAUAGGAACACCAUCGAGUGCAAGAAUGACAUCGUCUUUUUUAAGAAUUGUAUGAGCAGCUGAGACCAUGUUCAUUUCGUUUAUUAGAAUUCCUGACAUCGCAUGUCCCAUUUUAAAGUGUUUACGUAUUUGGGAAUUCUCCAUAGCUUGACAGGAUAUAUCCGGCAAAUCAAAACCAGUGUAGUAACCUUUUUCUUCAACAACACUUAGAAAAUGCUUAACUACUGGAGUUGGGAUUAUGUACCUUCAUACAAAACCACAACCAAAAAAAGGUUAAUCCAUAUUUCAUUUAGUAACUUGGAAUGCUACACCAAGUUAGUUUUAAUGUUAGUCAAAUAUAUAUACUCACUCUGUAUUUUCAGUCCAUACAAGACCUUGGAAUGCUACACCAACAACUUUGUUUCCCAUAAUGACCGGACCACCACUAUUUCCAUUCGUAAUAGCUGCAUCUACUUGUAUCGUCAACAGCUUGGUGGUGCUAUGAAUGUAAGCCCUAACUUCAACUCUCGAUACAAUACCUUCUGUAACAGAAAUAGUGUCACCACCUGCAUGCAUUUUAACACUUAACAUAACUUAUUAGUCCUUUCAUGAGUAUAUAUCAUCUACCAUAACCAAUUUUUAACAUGAGCAAUAAAACAUGUAUAGUUCAAAUUUCUCUCCACCAGAUUUUUUACUCAUGCGAAAUUUUUAAAUCACUUUGUUCAAGACGUACCAAUAGGAUAACCUAUAGCGAAGACAGUUUCCCCGAUAGAGGGUAUAUCUCCAAGCUCCAAAGGAUUUAAAUCCUCCCAAAACUCUUCAUUAUCAACAGCUAAGAUGGCCAAGUCACAUUCAUCCCCGACCGCUUCAACUAUUGCUCUGUACUUGGUGGGUGAACCAUGCCUUUUCACUUGCAAGUACAAGUGAUCUUCCACAACGUGAGCGUUUGUAAGAAUCCUCCUUCCCAAAAUUGCGAAUCCUAAACAAAUUCAACAUAUAAGUCAAACUAUUAAGAAAAGCACACAACCAAAACGAGAGAGAGAGAUGGUUUAGGGCUAAUACCAGAGCCCUCGGCUAACCCCUCGUAAGAAUUCGUCCAAGGUUUAUCAUCAUCUGGCUCGCUACAGAAGCAGAAGAUCUUCACAACCGAGUUAAGAGCCGUAUCUAUAGCAGAUUUUGCUGUGUGCGUUGACUCGCUUUGUGAAUUGACGCACACGGAAUGGCAAAAACGUGAUAUGGAAGCAUGAAAACCGGAAAUUCCCGUAGUUGGUGGUUGUAGUUUGUUCCGGACAGAAUUGGAACGACGAAGAAGGAAAGGAGAAGACAGGAAUCGAGGAACCUGAGUGGUCGAGGAGUUGAAGAACCUGGUCACAAUACGAACAGACCAUAACGACAUUUUGAGCGGCUACGGUUUCGAGGGAUUUUGUGUUAGAGGGUUUUGAGUGAUUGAUUUAUGAGUCGUUUUGUUUACUUGUUUUUGGGCUUGGUCUGUGCUUUCAUAAGGCCGCUUUGUAUGUUUGGUUUCUCUUGUCGUAAAAUUAAUAAUAGAAAAAGAGAUGACAGAGUAUUUCCUUUUUCAAUAGGGAAACUAACGAUAUUUAUUUCAUACUUGUCACGCACACAACGCAAAACAUAAAAGGAGACCAAACCCUUACUAAUAAAAUCAUCUAUUGAAUCGUUUACUGAAACUUGAGAGAACCAUGACGACGAUGUGCGAUCUCCCACCAGAAUUAGUAGGGAUGAUAUUCACCAAAAUUCCCAUAACAUCUAUAAGAACCGUGAGAUCCACUUGCAGAUAUUGGAAAGCUUUGACCAAAGAUUGGGUUUUAGGUAAAGGAGCGGCUAGGGAGCAGUUUUUGGGGUUCAUGACGAUGGAUUCUAAGGNNNNNNNNNNNNNNNNNNNNNNNNNNNNNNNNNNNNNNNNNNNNNNNNNNNNNNNNNNNNNNNNNNNNNNNNNNNNNNNNNNNNNNNNNNNNNNNNNNNNNNNNNNNNNNNNNNNNNNNNNNNNNNNNNNNNNNNNNNNNNNNNNNNNNNNNNNNNNNNNNNNNNNNNNNNNNNNNNNNNNNNNNNNNNNNNNNNNNNNNNNNNNNNNNNNNNNNNNNNNNNNNNNNNNNNNNNNNNNNNNNNNNNNNNNNNNNNNNNNNNNNNNNNNNNNNNNNNNNNNNNNNNNNNNNNNNNNNNNNNNNNNNNNNNNNNNNNNNNNNNNNNNNNNNNNNNNNNNNNNNNNNNNNNACUCUAAUUCAUGGAGGGUUCUCGACGUCACUUCUAGCUGGUAUAUACAGGAUCAUCAACGCGGCGUGUCUUUGAAGGGGAAUUCUUACUUUUUUGCUCAAGAGNNNNNNNNNNNNNNNNNNNNNNNNNNNNNNNNNNNNNNNNNNNNNNNNNNNNNNNNNNNNNNNNNNNNNNNNNNNNNNNNNNNNNNNNNNNNNNNNNNNNNNNNNNNNNNNNNNNNNNNNNNNNNNNNNNNNNNNNNNNNNNNNNNNNNNNNNNNNNNNNNNNNNNNNNNNNNNNNNUUUCACUCUAAGAUCGGUGAGUAUGUUGCCCUCUCAUGUGUAAAAGAAGACCAGCUCACUGUGCUAUACCAACGAAUGAAACAUAAUUGUUCUCCUACACUAUAUAUUUGGGUUACGACUAGGAUUGAGCCCAACACUCUCUCCUGGAGCAAGUUUUUGAGGGUGGAAAUGAGACCAUUUGAACUCUCUGGUUUUAGGUUUGGUGUUAACGCUGGGAGUUUCUUCGUUGACGAGGAAGAGAAAGUCGUUGUGGUUUUUGACGGUGACGUUUCUGACGUAAAUCCACGAACCAAGACCGCUCGGUACCACACAUCUUUUAUCAUUGGAGGAGGUGGAUACUAUAAAUCUGUGAGUCUCGGAGAAGCUCCCUAUAUCGAGGAAACUUGCCCCAAGUCGGGAUGUGCAUUACAUAUUUAUCGUCCUCCACUUGUUUGCUCUUCUUCUUAUUUUCCGAGUUUAGUGCAAGUGCAACUCAAACAAUCUCACAAAACGAAAGAAAGAGAUAAUAAUUAGAUUUGUUUCUUGAAUUUAUCUCUAAGAUGAUUAAUUCAGUUGUUUUUUCAUGUUCUUCCACUCUUUUUAAUUGCUCUUUACCAAUUGCGAAAUAAACAGUUGAAAAUUGCAUAAAUCAUGUAUUUUCUCAUGUUUCCUUCCGUUCGUCCGUGAAGAUGAUGAAUAUACGUUUAAAAAAAUGAUUUAAGAGACAUAUGAAAGUAACAAACAUCACAAACUACAUUGUAGAUAAAUUUUCUUUUACUAAAAACAACAACUAACUAAAAGUAAAAAUCAUAUUAUAUUUUGGCAUGCAUCAAGAUUUGAAGAGCUUUUUUUCUAAGAUAUGAAUAAGUAUUGGUUAGUCAAGCUGCUGAAGAGGAAAAUAAUAAUUGCCUGGAGGCGUCUUCCUUAAGGUCCCUGGACAUAGCCGAUGGUAUUGCGUGAUGUUCCAAGAUCCACGGAGUUGCUUCUUUCGCAGAUUUGUAGUUCACCGUAAUAACUCGUUCUUUUUCUAAGUCCAGCCUCAAAUCUUCUUCACUACAUUUCUCUAUGAGAUCACUUAGGUGUCUUAGAUUCAACACUUCCACUCCGUUCACUUUCUUCACCUGUACGUAGGAUUUAGUAAAACUGUAUAUAGUUAUGUUUCUCAAGACACACAUACACAUGCACAUGCACAUGAUGAACAUGAAACUAUAUAUAUGUGAUUCCCUUUUUAUAUUUGUAUUAGAGAGCUAAGCUGAGUCGUCUAGUGAAACUGAUCACGGUGGUUUAAGACUAGUUUCAUUUGAGAAUAAGAGUUACCUGCAAAUCUGUGUAAUCACGGUAUCCUGUGGUUAUGUCAUUCAAUAAGACCUACACCACAGAAAAAAAAAAAAAAAAAAAAAAAGCUCUUCAAAUCUUGAUGCCAAACUAACUAAUACAUUGCUAUCUAUCUAUAUUUUGAAACUCAAAUCACUAGGCAGGGUUGCAUGGCUAAAGAAAUAGAAUACAAUGUAAGACCAUGCCUUUCUAAUUAACAACUCAAGAACGUUACUUACUAAGAAGCAAAAUAAUUUGGGUAUAUCAAAAAACACAAACCAGUGAAAUCAUGACAAUCUGUUCACCAGCCUUUUUGGCCUUUCUGUCUAAUGAACAGUUACAUAUAGUAGAACUGUUUGCGUAUGGCUUAGAGAGAGGUACGAAGACAAAACCGGCAAGUAUGUAAUAACUUGGAAGAUAUCGGUCCGGGACCAGUUGCUGCUCCUGCAUAUAUGCGUACAAUAGAUAACCGUAACAAUCGUUAAUAGACCCAAUUAAUAUGAUUAUACGCCAAGAAUAACAGGACCAAAUAAUUUAAUGAAUCUGAUAAAAGUAGUCACAAAGCUCUCUAUAUAAGGUACAAAUAACGUAGAUAGACUUACAUGUCUAACAAUGAUAUUGAACUCGUGUUCUUUACCCUUUCUUAACACUUUUAGUAAGACAGUUUCACCUGAUUUCUUCAAAGUAACCAAAUGUUCGAAAUUGAUCCUUUCUUUUUUCCGAAACAGAACUGCAUGCAACAAACAUAAACUCACAUCACCACCAACACACAUGGAGAUAAUUCAUCAAUAUAGUAUGUAUAUGAUAAUAUAUUACUUGUCUCAUCAUUUCCAAUAGGAACACCAUCAAUUGCUAGAAUCACAUCAUCUUUUCUCAGAAUUCCUUGAGCACUUGACAACGGAUUAAUUUCGUUUAUAAGAACUCCUGUCAUCUCAAGACUCAUUUUGAAGUGUUUACGUAUGUAACCAUUCUCCAUAGACUGAUAUGAUAUAGCCAGAGAACAUAAACCAAGGUAUUGACCGGUUUCUUCAACACAUGUUAAAAAAUGCUUAACUAUUGGAGUUGAAAUUAUAUAGCUGCAUGGCACACACAAAACCACAUAAUUAUCUUUAAUUAGUUUUAUUUUUCGAAAAGAUACUUGAGAUUUAUAUAAAGCAUUCUGUAACUCACUUUCCGCUAAAUGAACUCUUUACAGAUGCUACACCAGCAACUUUGUUCCCCAUGAUCACCGGACCACCACCAUUUCUGUUGUUAAUUGCCGCAUCUAUUUGUAUCGUUAAUGGUUCAAUGGAGCUGUGAGAAUCCUUUUUCGGUUCAACUCUCGAUACAAUACCUUUCGUAACUGAAAUAGUAUCACCACCUGCAUUUGCAUAUAACAUAACUAAUGAUUAAACACAAACAUUCUGUCUAUUAAGACACUAAUCUUUAAGUGAAGCAUGAUUGUAAUUCUUUUAUCAAUACUACCACGCAUAUGACCAAAGAUAUAUAUUUUCUUGCAAAAACUUGAAUACUCAAUACGAAAAUUAUAAUUGUUCAAGACGUAGCAAGAGGGUAACUAGUUUCGACGUACCACGAGGAUAACCUAAAGCGUAUACAGUAUCCCCGAUAAAAGGUAUGUCUCCAAGCUCCAAAGGGUUCAUAUCUUUCCAAAACUCUUCACUAUCAAUAACCAAGAUAGCUAAGUCACAUCCAUACCCAAACGCUUCAACUUUUGCUUUGUACUUAGUCGGUGAACCAUGCUUUCUCACUUGCACGUAAGAGAGAUCACCAGGCGCACCAAUAUUGUCUGUUAGUAUCCUCCUCCCCGAGAUGACAAAUCCUAGAAUAAAUAUUCCAAACUAAGUCUAAUUAAAUCAUGUGAAUUGUGGAAAUUGAAUACAUGAAAACACACAAGCGAGUUAAAGAGAUGUUUAUGAGUACCAGAGCUUAAGUGUUCCAUCUCAGUUGUUUGCCAUGGUCGAACAACCUCUGGCUUUCUAGAAAAGGAGAAGAUCUUCACCACCGAGUCUAGAGCCACAUCGAUAGCAGAAGGACUCGCGCAUACAGAAGUACAAUACCGAGAUAUCAGAGAAGCAUGAAGAGACGAACUACAUCGAGGAAGAAGGGUAGAAGAAUAUGAAAGUCGAGGAACCGAAGUGCUCGUGGAGUUGCACAACCUUGCCACAAAAUCAACAUACCGGAACAACAUGUUAGGUAUAUGUUAAUUACAUGUAUUAACGAGAUACAAUAUAUGUAAUAUAAUUUACUUGAUCAUCAUAAUAGUCCAUGAGUUUACACUACUUCCUUUUUCCUAAAGAUUUAAACUUCUCAAAAUAUAUAUUGAAUAUUCAUUAAUGGAAACUAGAAUGAAACGAUCAAACUUGCACUAUUGAUUCUGUCAUGCUACGUCCAUGUGUUCGACUCUUUUUUAGUUUUUGUUUUUUAAGUCUGAAAAAGUCCAAUGGGCUUGGCCCAUAUAUCUAAACACAACAGGGUUCUAAAUAAAAUUUUGCGAUCAAGCUUCUCUCUCUCUCUCUCUCUCUCUCUCUCUCUCUCUGCCAUCGCCAAAAACUUCUCUUUAGCUUUCUGGGUUUUACUUCUUAGUUGGUAAGAUUGGAUUUUUCUCUCACCCCAUUUCUAAUUUGGUGUUUCUUAGAUCGUUAAUUGAUCUGUUUCGGUAGCUUAUCUCUGAUUUGAUCUUGUUGAAUCUGUGUAGUGUUCUGAUGAAGUGUAAUUUUUUUGGUAUGGAUCUAUGUAGAAAAAUAGUUGUCCAUUUCGGGAAUUUGGGAGAUGGCUCCGGUUGGUCCUCGAUCCGGUGAUGCGAUCUUCUCUAGCAUUGAUCGUGUGGUAAGUUUAGAGUUCAAAGCUUUAUCCUUUCUUCUCUGUUCCUCUUGAUUUUCUCUUUGCCUCUGAUUAUAGAAUUUGGUAUUUGAUAUGCUUCAUUGCUGUCCGAUGUGUUUUAUAAUUUGUAAAGAUUUGAGAAGUAAACAUUGUAGCCAAUUCCGAAUCUCUUAUUCAAUUUUGUUAUGGAGACAAUGUUUGAUCUCUCUUGGAAUCUGAUAAAUUUGUAGAAUGCUGAGCUGUUCACGUUGACGUAUGGUGCAAUUGUGCGUCAAUUACUUACUGACCUUGAAGAAGUCGAGGAAGUUAACAAACAGCUUGAUCAGAUGUAAUUCUUCUUCUACGCUUUCUGUAGACUGGCUUCAGUUUUCGCUUUUUUGUCCCUUGAAAGUUUCUACUUUUCAUUCUUGUGUUUGAAGUUUUGCUGCCUAAUGUCUCUACUUCCUUAAUUAUAUGCCAUGGAUGGGAAUUUGAUCUCUGGUUCAUACUGAUGAGUGUUCAAUUAUUUACAACUUUAUCACUAGCUUUCUGAUUAUUCUGCAGGGGAUACAACAUUGGAAUCCGACUUAUCGAUGAGUUUCUAGCAAAAUCUGGUGUUUCCAGAUGCGUUGACUUUAAGGAAACUGCUGAAAUGAUUGCCAAGGUAUGCCAUUUUCACUGAUUUUACAGUUUUUAAGUGUCUCUGUGCGUCAAACAACGUGAAAUUACAUUGCAAGCUAUAUGAAUGGCCAUUCCACUGGAAACUACAGUGUACAGAUAAACCUUAAACUAGAGCAUAGUGUUUAAUGUCUGGUAGAUAUCUCCUUUUGGUUUUUUUGAUAUUGAGAAGCAGUAACAGGUUUUGCCUUAUAACGCAGGUGGGUUUCAAGAUGUUCUUAGGGGUCACAGCAUCAGUGUCAAGCUGGGACGCGGAUGGGACUUGCUGUAGUAUUAUCUUGGAGGACAACCCGCUCGUUGAUUUCGUGGAGCUUCCCGAUACUUGCCAAGGUCUUUACUACUGCAAUGUCUUAAGUGGAGUCAUCAGAGGAGCUUUGGAAAUGGUCAGUCUCCUAUUUAUUCCCACUUCUUUGGUUCCAUAGAAGGCGUAUUCAAGUUUCUCUUACUCCUCUAUUAUUAAGUGCAGAACUUGUUUGUGCUGAGUGUUUUAUGUUAUUUUUCUUGUUGUCUGCACAAUGAUAAGGUCUCGAUGAAGACGGAAGUGACAUGGACGCGUGAUGUUCUUCGAGGGGAUGAUGCUUAUGAGUUGCAGGUGAAGCUACUGAAACAAGUCGCAGAGGAGUAUCCUUACAAGGAUGACGAAUAAACAUCACUCUCUCUUUAUCUUCCCCCUCUUCCUCAAAAAGAAACAUUAAUUACUGUUUGUAGUCUCUCCCUUUUGCUGCAUUCGUAGCUUUAUAUUUUUACGCAAGCUGUAAGCUAUGAAACUAAAUACCGUGUGAUGUUUUGGGUACAAACCAUUUAAUCCUAAUGUUCUUAUCGAUGUCACAAAAAAAUAUCAAAUCUGUAUAGAUCAAUUCGAUUUAUAAUUAAUUGCAAUAUUCUCCUUCUCUAAAAUAGGCAAAAUGAAAUGAAAAAUUAGCAGUGAGUUGUCAUCGUCUGAUUGGUACUGAAUCCUACGUGGAUAUGAUCGCUUAUUAAAUACGAUAUCUUUGUCUUUUUUAUAUUUUUGUUUUUAAUUUUUCUCACCGUCGAGCGUAAGCACAAAUACAAGUUGCAGACUUUAUCCAAAUUUAGGGUUUUCUUUUUAUCUUCUAUCAAACNNNNNNNNNNNNNNNNNNNNNNNNNNNNNNNNNNNNNNNNNNNNNNNNNNNNNNNNNNNNNNNNNNNNNNNNNNNNNNNNNNNNNNNNNNNNNNNNNNNNNNNNNNNNNNNNNNNNNNNNNNNNNNNNNNNNNNNNNNNNNNNNNNNNNNNNNNNNNNNNNNNNNNNNNNNNNNNNNNNNNNNNNNNNNNNNNNNNNNNNNNNNNNNNNNNNNNNNNNNNNNNNNNNNNNNNNNNNNNNNNNNNNNNNNNNNNNNNNNNNNNNNNNNNNNNNNNNNNNNNNNNNNNNNUUUUUUGUUUUGUUUCUUUCUGCUAAUAAUGAUUCAACACGGAUGAUUGUAAUUGAACUAGAUCAGCUUUACUAACAUGUAGAGAUCUCGAUUACUCAUAUUAACAUUGACUAAAUUUGAGACGUAUGAUUUGGUCUGUGGAAGAGAUCUUCUUGAUGAUCGUUUGAAUGGUUUGUGGCCUUUUUCGAGGAUUCUUGAAUCUGAAGAUAUGGGUUUGUAGUUCUGUCUUCUGUAGUACAUGCCGAGAUUGAUGUUUUUUUUUUUGUGAUUUAGUCAGUUUCUUAGCUCAUUUUUUAAAACUAUCUUCAUGAAUGAAUUGAUUGUGAUUGGAUGUUUUCAUGUUGUAUCAUGUGUUUCUGCCCUUCUGAAUGAAUUAUUUGAUGUUUUUACUUUCUAUCAUAUAUGUUUCGCUGAAUCUCCCCAAUUCUAAUCUAAAGGUAUAACCGUUUUGUACAGAUCUCAGCUUCUCGGUUAAUUUCACCCUCAAAUCAACUAAGUUUCAUGUCUGAACUUGACUCCCAGGUUCCUACUGCCUUUGGUAUGUUUCUACUGUACCAAAACUUGAGAUUUUUGUAGUCAUUGAUCUUCUUCAACAUAUUUAUUUGUCCAUACAGAAUUAUUUCAAAUCUUGAUUACAAACUGUAUCUAGCACCCUGUUUUUUUUGCAUGAAGGAUUGUUUAUAUCAUUUAACAUGUUAUUUGUAGCAUUGUUAUUUGUUUGAUUAUGCUGUUUGUGGUGCUUUAUCUCACAUGGGAAUCUAAUGGUUGUCUGUCUCCAUGUUCUGUUGCUUGUCUCAGAUCCGUUUGCUGAUGCGAAUGUUGAGGACUCAAGUGCCGGUACAAAAGAGUACGUUCACAUCCGUGUCCAGCAGCGAAAUGGUAGGAAAAGCUUGACAACUGUCCAGGGCCUGAAGAAAGAGUACAGCUAUACCAAGAUACUUAAGGACCUCAAGAAAGAGUUUUGCUGCAACGGCACUGUGGUUCAGGAUUCCGAACUUGGACAGGUUGGUUAAUACAACAAGAUUUAUUGAUCCAUGUGGUAAAAAGUCAAUGAUAUAAUAAUAUAUAUGUCGUUAGUAUUUAAUCAUAUAGUUGAUGCAAACAGUUGCAGAUAAGUAUUAUAUUUUCAGCUUUUAAAAGCCUUCUUUACCUCUAUAUUUGCUUUGCUUGAACGAAUCAGAAUGCUUUGACCUCUGUUCUAAACAUUUGAGCUUCUCUGUUGUAGUUUUGCUUACGUUUUUGUUUUUGUUUUGAUCUGUAGGUUAUACAACUUCAAGGUGACCAGCGUAAGAACGUGUCCACAUUCCUUGUCCAGGUAAAAUAACAAGAACCCUAUGAGUUUGUUUACUGCUAAAAACAUACAAACCGUGUAAGAUGAUUGUCUAAUGUCACUGUUUCUCUGUAAUCACAGGCUGGUCUGGUGAAGAAGGAUAACAUAAAGAUCCAUGGUUUCUAAGCUAUCUAGUGGAUCAUACUCUUAAUAAUAAAACCAUAUCAAUCUCUCCUUUCAUUUCUUGUUGCAAAUUCCCGGGUUUGAGUCGAGUAGAAUCGUCUUCUUCCUAGUGUUCCUCUGUUUGGUAUUCGAAUUUAAAAUGGCUUAUAUCCAUACUUCUUCAUCUUCUUAUUCCCCUGUUUCUGUGUUAACUCUGUUCCAACUCAUACCUAUGUAAUAUAUCAGAUUGUUGAGAUAAGUUCUAACUCUUCAAUAUUUAUUGGUUUUAUAAAAUGAUAAAAAAGUAGUACUACCAACCUGAAAUUAUAAGGAAUCGAAUACGGUCGAUUCUUUCCAAGUACUACAUUCAAGAUUUGGUUUCGGACCACAUAAAAAAAAAAGUUGAAUUGAUGAAAAAGGUUGAUGUAUCUCCUCUCAUGAUUCAUAAACACACAAAUAAUUUGAUAAAUGAACUGUCUAUUUCACGAGUAAGAUCCAAAACCGUCUCCAUCGUACAAAGAUAUUUCACCUUGUUGUGAAUUCGUGUCACCACACACUCACUGCAAAUGGUCACACAGGCACUGCAACUAGCUNNNNNNNNNNNNNNNNNNNNNNNNNNNNNNNNNNNNNNNNNNNNNNNNNNNNNNNNNNNNNNNNNNNNNNNNNNNNNNNNNNNNNNNNNNNNNNNNNNNNNNNNNNNNNNNNNNNNNNNNNNNNNNNNNNNNNNNNNNNNNNNNNNNNNNNNNNNNNNNNNNNNNNNNNNNNNNNNNNNNNNNNNNNNNNNNNNNNNNNNNNNNNNNNNNNNNNNNNNNNNNNNNNNNNNNNNNNNNNNNNNNNNNNNNNNNNNNNNNNNNNNNNNNNNNNNNNNNNNNNNNNNNNNNNNNNNNNNNNNNNNNNNNNNNNNNNNNNNNNNNNNNNNNNNNNNNNNNNNNNNNNNNNNNNNNNNNNNNNNNNNNNNNNNNNNNNNNNNNNNNNNNNNNNNNNNNNNNNNNNNNNNNNNNNNNNNNNNNNNNNNNNNNNNNNNNNNNNNNNNNNNNNNNNNNNNNNNNNNNNNNNNNNNNNNNNNNNNNNNNNNNNNNNNNNNNNNNNNNNNNNNNNNNNNNNNNNNNNNNNNNNNNNNNNNNNNNNNNNNNNNNNNNNNNNNNNNNNNNNNNNNNNNNNNNNNNNNNNNNNNNNNNNNNNNNNNNNNNNNNNNNNNNNNNNNNNNGACCCUUCGUUCCUUAUCUCUGACGUGGCCAUCAGUCUCCAGAUAUUUUCUACAUCUCCUAAUUUAAAUACUCAACAACCACACUUGUUCACUUCCACCAUCAUCAUCACUGCACUCUAAAACCAUAAAAAAACAUGGCAGCUAUGGCUUCAACUCUCUCCCUCUCUUCAACCAAACCACAGAGGCUUUUCGAUUCCUCUUUCCAUGGCUCAUCCAUUUCCGCCGCUCCUAUCUCCAUCGGCCUUAAAUCACGAUCCGUCUCUCUCUCCGUUCGCGCCACCGCCGGUUACGAUUUGAACGCUUUCACUUUCGAUCCUAUCAAGGAAUCGAUCGUCUCUCGUGAGAUGACCAGGAGGUACAUGACUGAUAUGAUUACUUUCGCUGAGACUGACGUCGUCGUCGUUGGUGCUGGAUCUGCUGGUUUGUCUUGUGCUUAUGAGAUCAGUAAGAACCCUAAUGUUCAGGUUGCUAUUAUCGAGCAAUCCGUUAGUCCCGGUGGUGGUGCUUGGCUCGGUGGUCAGCUUUUCUCCGCCAUGGUGAGAUUAGAUUUUUUUAUUGAUUUGCAUGUCAGAUUAGUUCGAUCAUUUAUCAUCCGGAGAGUUCUGAUUCUGAUUUAAUGGCGAUUUAGGUUUAGAUUGAAUCACUCAAUUUAGAGUUUUAUUCUUCUGGGAUUUGAUUGUUGUGUUUGUAUGGCAGAUUGUUCGCAAACCAGCUCACUUGUUCCUUGACGAGAUUGGUGUUGCUUACGAUGAGCAAGACAACUACGUUGUGGUUAAGCACGCUGCUCUGUUCACAUCUACAAUCAUGAGCAAGCUUUUGGCUCGUCCUAACGUGAAGCUCUUCAACGCCGUGGCUGCUGAGGAUCUGAUCGUGAAAGGAAACAGAGUUGGUGGUGUGGUGACUAACUGGGCUCUUGUGGCUCAGAACCACGACUCACAGUCGUGCAUGGACCCUAACGUCAUGGAGGCCAAGAUUGUGGUGAGCUCUUGUGGACAUGAUGGUCCUUUUGGAGCCACUGGUGUCAAGAGGUUGAAGAGCAUUGGCAUGAUCGAUCAUGUUCCUGGGAUGAAGGCUUUGGACAUGAACACUGCUGAAGACGCUAUUGUGAGAUUGACCAGAGAGGUUGUUCCUGGUAUGAUUGUGACCGGUAUGGAAGUUGCUGAGAUCGAUGGUGCCCCAAGAAUGGUGAGUUUCUCUUUUUUUUACAUGUUCUUGACAAAUCUUUGAUUCGAUCAUGUCAUGUCCUGAGUAAAUUUGUUGUGUGAUGUAUAGGGACCAACCUUUGGUGCUAUGAUGAUAUCCGGACAAAAGGCCGGACAGCUUGCUCUUAAGGCUUUGGGACUGCCCAAUGCUAUUGAUGGAACUAACGUCGGAAACCUAAGCCCAGAGCUUGUCUUAGCCGCAGCCGAUUCAGCUGAAACCGUAGAUGCGUAAGACCAAAAUGUUUUUAGCUUCAGAAAAAUUUC